AGAACCCUCUGCGCGUAAGGAGGGCUCUGGGUACGAGAAUGAAGCUGAUUGUUGAAUUUCACAUUUGGGGGAAUUUGGGAAUAACCCCAUUAGCGGAGGCGAGCAAAUAACUACUGCGUAUUUGUUGUGCAUGGGAAGUCUAUAAUUUUGUGGCGGCGUAUAUAAAGUACAAGUCUUUGUAACAAAGUAAGUUGAUUUCAUUAAGUCUUUAUCGUUCACAUCACUUUUAAGCUACAAUACAGCCAGAUUUCAUAAGACAUAAACAUAUAUAUCAAGGCCUAGUUAGCCUGUGACGAGAGCCUUCUGCUCUGCUCAUAUUCUGUGCUCUAAACUUAGGAAAGCUCGGUGAGUUACUUAUUAUGGCCAGAAAAAAGAACCAAAGAGGAGGCGCUGCAGGACGAUGGAAUGGCAGAGGUAAAGUGCAUAUAUGCUAUGACAAACGGCAAGGAAGUAAGUAAAGAUCGGAUGCUCCAAGAAUCCGAAACGACGAUUACAACAGGUUAGACGAACCGAGAGAAAUAAAAAAAUCAAGUUGAUGAGUUCUUAUAAAGUGCCUAAAAAAAUGCGCGACGCAGAAACAGCAGCGCAAAGAGCUGCAAAAAGCAAAUUAGGACUUAAGAAAACUUCUUCGCGAGGUGGAGCAACGGAUUGGCAUAAUUUAUCGCGAGUUUCACAAAGAAAAGUUCGCGACACGAUCCGUUAAGCAGUACAGAAACAUAAUGCUAAACGGCCUAAACGCAAAUAAUUUUGGAACAAAUAUUUUCGUCCUAGAGACGUAUAGUUGAUAUAGUUACUUUGUGGUUGACUAAAAUCUAAAUGUAUUUUAUGCUGAUUUUAUGCUGAUUUGACGAUUUGAACUCGUUUGCUGCUUUCGUAUUUGCCAUUUGGGGAUCUACAAUAGAGCUAGACUACAGAAUCAGAAUCAGAGAUAUGCCAUUGCUACUUUGAAAUUUAUAACAGAAUAACCUUUUGGUUAAUCGCUCAAGAAGUUAAACUAUAGCAAAGUAAAAAAGUUGCUGUUUAAGCAACUUUCGCUUCUGGUUUUCGAGGAAUAAAUGUCACUUGACACUUGCUAAUUAAUAUUCGAAUAUGUGCAUGAGUUUAAUAUUCAAAAUACAUAAUAUCAGCA